rnacentral:rRNA from 1 species
UACGUAGGGGGCGAGCGUUGUCCGGAGUUGACUGGGCGUAAAGCGCUUGUAGGCGGUCCACCAAGUUUGGGGUGACAGUUGCCGACUUAAUCGGCAAAGUGCCUCAAAGACUGGCGGACUUGAGGGCCACAGAGGGACAUGGAACUCCAGGUGUAGUGGUGAAAUGCGUAGAUAUCUGGAAGAACACCAAAGGCGAAGGCAGUGUCCUGGGUGGUCGCUGACGCUGAGAGGCGAAAGCCAGGGGAGCGAACGGG